rnacentral:rRNA from 1 species
GGCUAUUCGAAGUUAUUAAUAGUCUGGCCUGCUCACUGAUAAAAUUGUAUUAAAGAGCCGCGGUAAUUUGACCGUGCAAAGGUAGCAUAAUCAUUAGUUCUUUAAUUGAGAACUCGUAUGAAUGGUCGGACAAGAGAAAAACUGUCUCUAAUAUUUAAUUUGAAAUUGACUUUUAAGUGAAAAGGCUUAAAUAUUUCAAGGGGACGAUAAGACCCUAUAAAGCUUUAUAUAUUGAUAUAAUUUAACUUAAUUGUAUUAUAAAGGUUUAUUUAAAUAAAUAUAUUUAGUUGGGGCGACUAAGGUAUAAUUACUAGUAACUGAUUAAAAACUAAUCAAUUAUAUUUGAUUAUUACAUAAUUGAUCCUUUUUAAAGAUUAAAGAUUAAGUUACUUUAGGGAUAACAGCGUAAUUUUUUCUGAGAGCCCAUAUCGAAGAAAAAGUUUGCGACCUCGAUGUUGAAUUAAAAUGUCUUUAUAGUGCAGCAGCUAUAUAAGAAAGUCUGUUCGACUUUUAAAUUUUUACAUGAUUUGAGUUCAGACCGGCGUAAGCCAGGUCGGUUUCUAUCUCUUGAUUAUUGAAAGUUAUUUUAGUACGAAAGGAUUAAAUAAUUAAAAUUUUUUUAUAUAUUGAAAU